rnacentral:rRNA from 1 species
CCCCUAGACGUUCUGGGCUGCACGCGCGCUACAAUAAUACGCACAGCGAGUAUCACCGAGCUCGAAAGGGCAAGGUAAACAAUAGAAAAGGUACUGUAAUGGUUAUAGAUCCUUGUAAUUAUUGAUCUUCAACGAGGAAUUUCUAGUAAGUAUGUGUCAUCAUCACGCACUGAUUACGUCCCUGCCCUUUGUACACACCGCCCGUCGCUCCUACCGAUUGGGUGAGCCGAUGAAACUCUCGGAUGUAGGCUAUUCAUAGCCCGCAGAAGAGAUUUGAAUCGUAGCGCUUAGAGGAAGGAGAAGUCGUAACA